AAGGGUGUAAAAUAGAAGAAGCAAGAAACAAACAAAAUUGAAAUUUGGAAAGAACAGAAAAAAAAAAGGAGAAAUGAUGGGGAAGAAAAAAGAACAAAGUGAAGAAGAACGUGAAACUAUAUUUUUUCUAUUUUAGAAAUAACUUCCCCUUCUAAAAUAAAAUAAAAUAACAUAAAAAAUAAAUAUCAAAAACACUCACAGGGAUUCAAACACAAGACCCAAAGAUACACUAAUACACAACUAACCACUGGACUAGUA
rnacentral:lncRNA from 1 species